rnacentral:tRNA from 1 species
CGGGGCGUAGCGCAGUCUGGUUAGCGUGCCUGGUUCGGGACCAGGAGGUCGGAAGUUCAAUUCUUCUCGCCCCGACCA